CAGCAGCCGCGGUAAUACGUAGGUGGCAAGCGUUGUCCGGAAUUAUUGGGCGUAAAGGGCUCGCAGGCGGUUUCUUAAGUCUGAUGUGAAAGCCCCCGGCUCAACCGGGGAGGGUCAUUGGAAACUGGGAAACUUGAGUGCAGAAGAGGAGAGUGGAAUUCCACGUGUAGCGGUGAAAUGCGUAGAGAUGUGGAGGAACACCAGUGGCGAAGGCGGCUUACUGGCUCAUUCUAGACGCUGAGGUGCGAAAGCGUGGGGAGCAAACAGGAUUAGAUACCCGCGUAGUCCCUGUCUCUUAUAA
rnacentral:rRNA from 1 species